CGGACGGGUGAGUAACGCGUAGGCAACCUGCCCCAUACAAAGGGAUAGCAUUUGGAAACGAAUAUUAAUACCUUAUGAAACUUAACUAGUGCAUGCUAGGUAGGUCAAAGAUUUAUCGGUAUGGGAUGGGCCUGCGUCUGAUUAGCUAGUUGGUGAGGUAACGGCUCACCAAGGCGACGAUCAGUAGCCGACCUGAGAGGGUGAACGGCCACAUUGGAACUGAGACACGGUCCAA
rnacentral:rRNA from 1 species